GAGGGGUAAGAAAAACAAUGGACCAGGUUGAAUCAUCCCAAAUCAAAACAACCAGAUUCACAUGCUCCGCCUCCUUCAAACUGGGGAAAAUUUGGGGAAAGUUCAUCACUUCACGCCAAUGCUCCUAGGGCAGAGGAUCCAGUCUGUGAGCAGGCUAAGGCUAUUAAACAAACAUCGGAUUGGAUAAUAACAGGUCAGGUAAAUAACUUUAUAGUGUUGCGGGCAGGCAGGAACCCUAGCCGCCGACUGCCCCGUUUUCAUCUCCAGUACCAUUAAUCUGCAGGGUAUAUCCACAGCGCAAUCAAACUAAAACCCCAUGGCUCUGCGUUUUGUUCUUGAGAGGACGGUGAGAAUCAAAACUGGGUAUGUCAAUCCAAAGCUUGGAUUUUGGUUUGCCAGCAGCGCUUUCAAACCCCAGUUGUAUUCCUCUUUGCCGCGUACUGACCAUUAUCCUCUGUUUGAGCCGUGCUGGGGACCCCCAGUUGGGGGUGACCCUCAGCACCCCAACUCCACGUGGGAGGCUGUGGACCAAGUAAAAAUAAAAAAAAA